UACGUAGGGGGCAAGCGUUGUCCGGAAUCAUUGGGCGUAAAGAGCGUGUAGGCGGCUCGUUAAGUCCGCUGUGAAAGUCCAGGGCUCAACCCUGGGAUGGCGGUGGAUACUGUCGGGCUCGAGUCCGGAAGAGGAGUGUGGAAUUCCUGGUGUAGCGGUGAAAUGCGCAGAUAUCAGGAGGAACACCAAUGGCGAAGGCAGCACUCUGGGACGUGACUGACGCUGAGGCGCGAAAGCGUGGGGAGCAAGCAGG
rnacentral:rRNA from 1 species